AGUUUUCGUCAAAGCCGACCUCCUCCCCGGCGAUGACGAAUCGGCCCGACCUUCACCUCCUCCCGAGGGUUGGCCACAAAAACGGCGCCCGCCGCACCUCCUCCCGCGGCGGGCGCUGUUU
rnacentral:sRNA from 21 species